rnacentral:rRNA from 1 species
UCCGGUGAUCCUGCCGGACCCCACUGCUAUCGGGAUAGGACUAAGACAUGCUAGUCGAGCGCUCUUCAGCCAUGAUAAGAGCGCGGCACACAGCUCAGUAACACGUGGCUAACCUGCCCUCGGGACGGGAACACCCCCGGGAAACUGGGGCUAAUUCCCGAUAGGCGAAGAACUCUGGAAUGAGUCUCCGCCCUAAAGACGCUUAGAUCACGCUUUUAAGCGCCGCCCAAGGAUGGGGCCGCGACCGAUCAGGUUGUUGGUGAGGUAACGGCCCACCAAGCCUUUUACCGGUGCGGGCCGUGGGAGCGGGAGCCCGGAGAUGGGCACUGAGACAAGGGCCCAGGCCCUACGGGGCGCAGCAGUCGCGAAAACUUUGCAAUAAGCGAAAGCUUGACAGGGCUAUCCCGAGUGCCGUCCGCUGAGGAAGGCUUUUACCCAGUCUAGAACGCUGGGAGAAUAAGGAGAGGGCAAGUCUGGUGUCAGCCGCCGCGGUAAUACCAGCUCUCCGAGUGGUGUGGAUGUUUAUUGGGCCUAAAGCAUCCGUAGCUGGCCAGGCAAGUCCCCUGUUAAAUCCACCGAAUCAAUCGUUGGAUUGCGGGGGAUACUGCUCGGCUAGGGGACGAGAGAGGCCGACGGUAUUUCC